UCCGAGAUAACACCUCCCUCGGUAAAACAGAGAUGGAGAAAAAGGAAACCUCCUUUCCUUCCUUCCCCAUCCCCUCCCCAGUCCUCUGCCGCCGCCACCUUCUUUCUCCACUAAAUCCACCCCAUCCUCAUCAUCCUCGUCCACGACCGUCGACUGAAGGAACCAAAGCAGGUGAGGGGGUGGCUCUAGGAGUUGGCGGUGGCUCCAGGGCCGUCGAGAGGCGUUGGGUCUAAGACUUCGUGCCUCGGCGGCCGGGGUCAAGCAAGUCAGAUGGGAGCCUUCCACCAGCACAUUUCUCAUGUCCAGGGAGGUCUCCUUUUCGCCGAGCUCCAGAUCCAUGACAACGGGUGAGCAGCGGCAAAGGCUACCACCUAGCAACUCCACUUCCCUUGUCUUUCACCCUCUCCAACCCGUCUGGAGGUAUGCCCACUCUUCUUCUCUUCUCUUCUUUGAUACAGCAACGUUGAUAAACACAAAUCUGGAGAUAGUAGUUAAGUUUUUUCUUUUAUUCUGUAUUGCCUCUCCGUUCUACAAAAUUGCAAAAUGUGUUUCUUUUGGAAGCAAUAUUUUGAUCUUAUAUCAAUUUAUUAGAUAGGCUACAUGGGGAUCUUUUGCUCUGACUAGAGUUGAUGAUUUGUCUUAGGAUACACUUGAUGAUUUAGUUGGAGAUGAAUGGUUCUUACUAAGAUACAUCUGUAUAUGUAUGUGCUUUAUUUGCUUCGGUUGAAGAUAUAUGUGUGCCUUAGGGAUAUAUCUAAAGUCAAAUUUACAGGUACAUAUCCCGUCAGUGAUUAUGUAUUAAUGAUUGUUGGCAACUCCUAUCUUACUAACGACUCCCCUUGUAGGUAAAAUCUGAUCAAAACUACUAGACGAUCCAAGUGGACAAUUAUUUCACUUUCAGCUUGUAUAUCACUGUCCGACCACAGAAGGUUAGAUGUCUAUAUUACAUCCAAAAAGUUGGAUGCCAACUAUUUACAACACGCCUCUCACAAAAAAGUAUAAAUGGAUUGGUAACUUAGUCAUGGGAUUGGUGAGUUUAGUUCGCCAUCUCUUGAAUUGGGUGAAUUUCAUCACAAGAAAGAAGAAGGAAUUGGUAAUAUUAAAUUGGGUGUUAUAUGAUUCCUUAGCUGACAUCCUUUUGUUCUUUCUUGUGACUUUUGGAGUUAUUGAACUUGGUCUUUGUUGUAAGUGAAUGUCUUCCCGCGUCCGAAGCCUCGGUGUGGCGUGACCUCUAGGACGUUCCGACGGCAUCGGAUCCAGCGAUUGUGGCCUACGAUGGCUUUGUCGCCUUUGGCCGCCUCUAUGCUGCUGCCGACAAGAUCAGCGGGAGGUUCUCGUGGCCACCAACGUCCUGGCCGAGGCCUAUGCUGUCACCAACGACCUCGUCAUCCAGGUCAAGCAGCACCCGGCACAACGCACUUCCCCCCUGUCUCGGUCUGCUAUUUACGGCGGCCCUAGGCGCUUAGAUCUCUGGGCGUACGAGCUCGUUAUUGGCCACACAAAGACUGUAAGCUAUGUUGAGGAUGUAGAUGCAUCGACCAUUGUAUCUGGUUCCACCGACAACUCGUUGAACUUUUGGGACUUGUCUAUGAAUCAAGCAAGAGUAAUUGACAAUCCAAUUCAGGGUUUUACAUGGCAUACAAAUACAAAGGUUGGAUAUCCUAGGUCAAUUUUUGUUCUAGCUGUACUUGCACAUACUUGUUCUCUUCUCAGGGUAUUGUUCUAGAAAUAAUUAUAUUCAACUACUCCAUACAAGCAUUAUCAACUCUCAAUUUCAUUUUCAUUUUUGUGCCCUUGAAUCAUGGCAUGUUUACGUUUUGUCCUGCAUACAAAGUUACAGUUGUAUUUCAUCAGCAUAGCGUUCUGUCAUCAGAUCAGUCUCUUCUUUCAGUUAGUUCUCUUGCACUGACCCAUAAGGUAGUCGGGUUAGGCGGGAACUUUAUUACUUCCUCCAUUAUAAGUUUCAGCAUGCCCAUGAUUACGUCUUUGCUUCAAACAUUGUUGGUUAAUUGAGCCAAGACUUCGGCACCGUGAACGGUGGCUUCCCUCUGAUGUUUGAUUUGGUUCUAGAUUUUAGAUUAUUGACAGAUAUUUCUGUGUACUGUCAGUCCAGACACUUACAGUAUGAUGAAUCUGAAAAGAGAAGAGAAAUGGCGAAGAACUCCCUCGAGAGAUAUACACAUUAUUAUGAACGAUGGGCAGCUAAUCAGUUAGUAAGUUAUUCAUUGUGAAAACAGUAGCAUGUGCAGAUUAUUGCUAGGAUUCAGAGUGAUAAUUUAUACAUUUUGAAAUGAAAAAUUAUUCUAUUACGGACAAUAAUUGAGCUGAUGUACUUAACAUAAUCUCGCAUCACGAUGGACUUUGGUGUUCUUUGUGACAGUGGCAUUGCUGGUGGUGGAGAGAAAACUCUCUGAUACUCCAUCCGUUUCUAAAUAUAAGUCCUUUUAAAGAUUUUACUAGAAGACUACAUACAAAGCAAAAUGAGUGUUGAUGACGUUCGAACCUGGCCUCCAUCCAAGCUGCACGAACCAGGCCCCGCGUGAAGCCCCGUCGUCGGAACCUGGCCGCCUUCUCUCCGAAAGACCUCGACCAUCACGUCGCCUUUGCCCGGAUCCGAACUAGACCCGAAGCCGGCCCCAGCCAUCCCACAGAGGGAUCCCCAACGCUCCUGCUUCCGUGAGCGUCACCAUUUGAGAAGUGCAUCCAGACACCUCGAGCAGUACGCCUCCUGCCCUCUUGCAGUUCAUCCAAUUGAACAUGGUGUGCCUCUUGCAGUUCAUCCAAUUGAACAUGGUGUGCGGAUGACGAGGGGAAACGGAGGGGCUCAUUCUAAGGCUCUGUUGGAGGGACGACAGCUGCAUCAUCGUAACGGAUCUUGAAUCUGAAAUUCUCUGCGGUCCUCGCGGUUCUCUGGUUGUUCCGUUGUAGUUUGGUUCGCUGGUUCUUGAGUAAAGUAGUUGUUCAGUAAACUAUUUCUUCUCUCAAAAGGUGUGUUCUUGGGCUGCAGUGCUCCAUUGUAUAUCGCGUGAAAUUCAGCUGGGUUGACCCUAUUUGUAUUUGUUGAAGUUCAUUUUGUAGUGAGUUAAGUGGUUCAUUCUUUAAAACAAAUAUAGCAAGAAGUUUGCUUU